rnacentral:sRNA from 1 species
CACGGCCUGUAAUGCAGACCUAUUUAUGCCACAAAUUGAAAUAGAAAACUUCGUUCCACCGCUACAUCCAGCGACUGACCUGAAGAUCUCAACAUUCUUUUGUCCAUAAGUAAUACAUUAUGAUGGCUUAAGUACGCUCUCGAAGCGUGAUACAAAUUUAUUUAAUUCAGGAGACAUAACAUGUCUAAAGCAACUGGUAUCGUUAAGUGGUUCAACGAUGAGAAAGGUUUCGGUUUCAUCACUCAGGACAACGGCGGCGCUGACGUAUUCGUUCACUUCCGUGCUAUCCUAGGCGAAGGCUUCAAAUCUCUAGCUGAAGGCCAGAAAGUAUCUUUCGACAUCGAACAAGGUCAGAAAGGUCCUCAAGCUGCUAACGUUGAGCGCAUCUAAUUUUAGAUACCUCGCGUAAAGUUUCUGAAAGAGCGCUCUUGUAGCGCUCUUUUUGUU